GCCUCUGUAGUUCAAUGGAUAGAAUAAUUGCGUACGAAGCUAUUGAUAUGGGUUCGAUUCCCAUCGGGGGUA